ACACUUCCAUCAUCUCCAUACUUGCUAGGAGAUUGAGUAAUUGGUGUCUGGAUAGAAAGGGAAGCCAGAGAAGCGUUUGGGACUCGUGAGCUUGGUUCCCCGGUGUCACACUUGAAAACUGCUAAGCUUAUGCCUUCCCUACGGGCCACGUGCUUUUGUGUUCUUGAAAAUGCAUCAAGAAUUGGGAAACUUACAGUCUGGUUCUAGGUCUGCACAUGCCAAGUGGGGAAAGGCAGCCGGGAGUCCUCAUGAGACAGUCAGAAGGGAAAUGCCGGAAUGCAUGGACACACACUUUAUGGACGGUCAGAAGGGAAAUGCCGGAAUGCAUGGACACACACUUUUAUGGGAUGCAGAGGGUGUGAGCAGAAGCUGCUGCAUCUUCUCGCUGUGUUCCUGAGGGACUUAUUCAUUUAUUCAGCAAGUAUUUCUUUGAGGCAUUGCUGCUGCCAAUCCCUCAUUAGGUAUUCAUUUCCCUGAUUAGGUAUUCAUUCCCCUCAUUAGGUAUGCAGUCACAUGGUCCAGUCACAUGGUCAGCGUCCCUCAUCAUUUAUCCUGUGCACACAGUUCCAGGGAACAAUGAGGCUUAUUCCCGACAGCACCACAGGCGUGAUAGCUCCCUCCCUCCACUAAAUUCUCCUCAUUCUCCGAGGCUAAACCUUUACCCACUGUGAAGAAUUUUCUCAAAUCA